AUAAACCCGGGAAACUGGGUAUAAUACCCGAUAGAUCUCGGCUGCUGGAAUGCAUCGAGCUCUAAAGCUCCGGCGCCUGAGGAUGGGUCUGCGGCCUAUCAGGUAGUAGUGGGUGUAGCGUACCUACUAGCCUACGACGGGUACGGGUUGUGAGAGCAAGAGCCCGGAGAUGGAUUCUGAGACACGAAUCCAGGCCCUACGGGGUGCAGCAGGCGCGAAAACUUUACAAUGCCGGCAACGGCGAUAAGGGGACCUCGAGUGCCAGGUUACAAAUCUGGCUGUCGUGAUGCCUAAAAAGCAUUGCAUAGCAAGGGCCGGGCAAGACCGGUGCCAGCCGCCGCGGUAACACCGGCGGCUCGAGUGGUAACCGUUAUUAUUGGGUCUAAAGGGUCUGUAGCCGGCCGGAUAAGUCUCUUGGGAAAUCCAGCAGCUUAACUGUUGGGCUUUCAGGAGAUACUGUCUGGCUCGAGGCCGGGAGAGGUGAGAGGUACUUCAGGGGUAGGGGUGAAAUCUUGUAAUCCUUGAAGGACCACCAGUGCCGAAGGCGUCUCACCAGAACGGACCUGACGGCAAGGGACGAAAGCUAGGGGCACGAACCGGUUGGAUACCCGGGUAGUCCUACGCCGUAAACGAUACUCGCUAGGUGUCGGCCACGGUGCGACCGUUGUCGGUGCCGUGAGGGAAGCCGUGAAACGAGCCACGUGGGAAGU
rnacentral:rRNA from 1 species